GUGCCAGCAGCCGCGGUAAUACGAAGGGUGCAAGCGUUAAUCGGAAUUACUGGGCGUAAAGCGUGCGUAGGCGGUUGGUUAAGUCUGUCGUGAAAGCCCUGGGCUCAACCUGGGAAUGGCGAUGGAUACUGGCCAGCUAGAGUGUGAUAGAGGAUGGCGGAAUUCCCGGUGUAGCGGUGAAAUGCGUAGAGAUCGGGAGGAACAUCCGUGGCGAAGGCGGCCAUCUGGAUCAACACUGACGCUGAGGCACGAAAGCGUGGGGAGCAAACAGGAUUAGAAACCCUUGUAGUCC
rnacentral:rRNA from 1 species